rnacentral:rRNA from 1 species
GGGCGAAAGCUGAUGCAGCCAUGCCGCGUGUAUGAAGAAGGCCUUCGGGUUGUAAAGUACUUUCAGUUGUGAGGAAGGGGGUGUCGUUAAUAGCGGCAUCUCUUGACGUUAGCAACAGAAGAAGCACCGGCUAACUCCGUGCCCAGCAGCCGCGGUAAUACGGAGGGGUGCGAGCGUUAAUCGGAAUUACUGGGCGUAAAGCGCAUGCAGGGUGGUUCAUUAAGUCAGAUGUGAAAGCCCGGGGGCUCAACCUCGGAACUGCAUUUGAAACUGGUGAACUAGAGUACUGUAGAGGGGGGGUAGAAUUUCAGGUGUAGCGGUGAAAUGCGUAGAGAUCUGAAGGAAUACCAGUGGCGAAGGCGGCCCCCUGGACAGAUACUGACACUCAGAUGCGAAAGCGUGGGGAGCAAACAGGAUUAGAUACCCUGGUAGUCCACGCCGUAAACGAUGUCUACUUGGAGGUUGUGGCCUUGAGCCGUGGCUUUCGGAGCUAACGCGUUAAGUAGACCGCCUGGGGAGUACGGUCGCAAGAUUAAAACUCAAAUGAAUUGACGGGGGCCCGCACAAGCGGUGGAGCAUGUGGUUUAAUUCGAUGCAACGCGAAGAACCUUACCUACUCUUGACAUCCAGAGAAGCCA